AUUGAACGCUGGCGGCAUGCUUUACACAUGCAAGUCGAACGGUAACAGGUCUUCGGAUGCUGACGAGUGGCGAACGGGUGAGUAGUACAUCGGAACGUGCCUAGUAGUGGGGGAUAACUACUCGAAAGAGUAGCUAAUACCGCAUGAGAUCUACGGAUGAAAGCAGGGGACCUUCGGGCCUUGUGCUACUAGAGCGGCUGAUGGCAGAUUAGGUAGUUGAUGGGGUAAAGGCUUACCAAGCCUGCGAUCUGUAGCUGGUCUGAGAGGACGACCAGCCACACUGGGACUGAGACACGGCCCAGACUCCUACGGGAGGCAGCAGUGGGGAAUUUUGGACAAUGGGCGAAAGCCUGAUCCAGCAAUGCCGCGUGCAGGAUGAAGGCCCUCGGGUUGUAAACUGCUUUUGUACGGAACGAAAAGCCUGGGGCUAAUAUCCCCGGGUCAUGACGGUACCGUAAGAAUAAGCACCGGCUAACUACGUGCCAGCCGCCGCAGUAAAAC
rnacentral:rRNA from 1 species